rnacentral:rRNA from 1 species
GACGAACGCUGGCGGCGUGCUUAACACAUGCAAGUCGAGCGGUAAGGCCCUUUCGGGGGUACACGAGCGGCGAACGGGUGAGUAACACGUGGGUGACCUGCCCUCAGCUCUGGGAUAAGCCCGGGAAACUGGGUCUAAUACCGGAUAUGACUCCAUGACGCAUGUUGUGGGGUGGAAAGCCUUGUGCGGCUGAGGAUGGGCCCGCGGCCUAUCAGCUUGUUAGUGGGGUGAUGGCCACCAAGGCGACGACGGGUAGCCGGCCUGAGAGGGCGACCGGCCACACUGGGACUGAGAUACGGCCCAGACUCCUACGGGAGGCAGCAGUGGGGAAUCUUGCGCAAUGGGCGAAAGCCUGACGCAGCGACGCCGCGUGAGGGAUGACGGCCUGG